AACGUAGGACACAAGCGUUAUCCGGAGUUACUGGGCGUAAAGGGCGUGUAGGCGGAUCGGUAAGUCUACUCUGAAAGCUCCUGGCUAAACUGGGAGAGGCGAGUGGAGACUGUCGGUCUAGAGUGAGGAAGAGGAAAGUGGAAUUCCGCGUGUAGUGGUGAAGUGCGUAGAUAUUGGGAGGAACACCAGUGGCGAAGGCGGCUCACUGGACUGGUACUGACGCUGAGGCGCGAAAGCGUGGGGAGCAAACGGG
rnacentral:rRNA from 1 species